rnacentral:rRNA from 1 species
ACGGCACAGGGGCGGACGUGCGCGGUGCAAAACUGCGGAGUUUCUUCUAGCUGCAACCUCUCUUAUCCCACCCCGAACCUGUGGCUCUCGGCGUCGGUCCCCAUGUCAUCCCCGGCGUGCCGUCCCGGCCUCCCGGCGCCUCGCCGGCAGGCGCCGCUCCUCCCCCGCCUAGCCGCUCCCCCGUCCGGCUCGAAGCGGGCUGUUCAUCGGACAAGACCUGCUCACUCCACCUUCGAGUUCUCCUCUCCUGGCCGCCGCCGUCGUACUCGGGUCAUCUCUUCUUGCCACGGUGGUUUGGUAGAAAGAAGGAGACUACUAUUGAUUCCUGCAAUUAGUCUCACCAUUGGCUCCCUUCAGUACAGUCUGGAGAAGGGAGCAGCAAAAGCUGAAUUUACUGACAUGCCAGCGCUUCGUGGGAAGGACUAUGGAAAGACAAAAAUGAGUUAUCCAGAUUACACUGAAACAGAAUCAGGCCUCCAAUACAAGGACUUGCGAGUUGGAGAGGGCCCAUCCCCAAAGAAGGGAGAGACAGUAGUGAUUGAUUGGGAUGGGUACACAAUUGGAUACUACGGUCGCAUUUUUGAAGCUCGAAACAAGACCAAGGGUGGUUCUUUCGAGGGUGGUGAUAAAGAAUUCUUCAAGUUUAAGGUUGGAUCAGGACAGGUAAUACCAGCCUUUGAGGAGGCUAUGACAGGCAUGCGUCCCGGUGGAGUUAGAAGGAUAAUAGUACCACCGGAUAUUGGAUACCCAGAUAAUGACUUGAACAAGUUAGGCCCCAAACCAACAACAUUUUCGGGACAAAGAGCUCUAGAUUUUGUUCUAAGGAAUCAAGGAUUAAUAGACAAAACUCUCCUGUUUGACAUUGAGCUUAUUAGGAUAAUUCCGAGUCAAUAGCAUACAAGUGUGGGGGCAGUUUAGAGAACUUGGGCAGACCGAAGGCCUUGAUGAAAUAUCAUUAGUGAAUGGUGACCAUAUUAAAUACAUGAAGUGAGAAGAUUUGUAAUGUUGUAAAAUCCCUUGAUUUAGACCAUGUUCUGAAUGUGUAUCCUGCCAAUUUGUGCCGGAUUUGUAGUUCAUGUAAAAUCCUCGUGAAAUUCAUUCAAUUGCAACGAUGGAAGGGGGGAUUUAUGGGAUAUCAAAUUUCGUUUCUGUUCAUCCGGCAACUAAGUUUUGAAGUUUUUUGUUGAAUUAUGAAUUUUUCCACUCAUCAGUUUGUUUGACAUAGAUGGGCUUUAAUGUUUUUGAGUUAUGGCUUCUCAACCUUGUUCACUUGGUCUACAUAUCACCCUACUCAUGUGUACUGCCGUCUUUUAUGCUGAUUUGUUAAUGGUAGAGUUGUUAACUGCUGUCUUUUAUGCUGAUUUGCACAUUUGAUCACCCUUCAAGCAAAUAGCUACGCCAGUGUGAACAUGCCCAGCACUCCAAUACCAUAAUGACCAUGUGUAUUCAAGUUACAUCAGCCUGGCCUAUUUGUCGUCUCCCAUGAGUCAGGGUGUCAACUGCAUUACACUUCUAAUUAAACCUGUGCCCUACAAUGUACCCGACAUAUCAAUAUAUAUACCCCACCUUUUUCGAAAGUGCUAGCACAGUACCCAAUGUUUGUUAUUCCUACAAGAAGAACAUGGAGCUCCUGUGAUAUGCUAUCGAAGAAUACUAUGGGCUUAGGAAGCAUCAGAAAAAGUAGCAGUGCUGCAUCGUCUUUGGUAGCUAGAGAAUCCUACAGUAAUUGUCCGCGGUUCAACUUUCAAAUUUCCGUGGCAUAUUUUAUUUCCAGCAAAUGUUAACUCUAGAUCUAUUAAGGGGGAAAUGCUAACAGCAAGACAACCCCAUUGUUUCUUUUCAAUAAAUCUAGGCCAGGGAAUAUGGCAAUAACUCUUGAUUAAUCUGUUCGGUUCCCCUCCUAAUUUAUGUUAUGAUGCAGUGGUCGAGACACUCUCCAGUAUCAAUAAUAUAAGCCUGCCAAAAUCGUCAUCUGAAUAUGUUCAGUUUCCUCUGUCUCAAAUGCAAUGGAAAAAAUGUAUGUUUGUGAACCAACUAAUGGCUGAAGCAAUGAUGGAAAUGAUGGAGGAAUCAGAGGUGCACAUUCGUGCGCAACAACAACUGAUCAAUAUUUUCAGAGACAGUGUAGCAAAGCAGCAAGAACUUGCCCACAUGCUUAUGGGUGUCAUCCGCGCUGAGGUUGCAGAUUGUGACAUUGUAGAUCGUUAGGUUCUGUUCAUUUAUUUGCACUGUCAUCAAUCUUUGAUUACCCAGUGGAUGUAAUUUCCUGUAAUAUAUGCUGGAUGUGCAACGUUUUUCCCUGUAUGCUGUAACUUUGCUU